rnacentral:lncRNA from 1 species
AGGUACACUUUAAGGAUUAGUUGAUCAAGCUGAAAAUAUACAUAGUUUUGGAGGUUGAGGAAUUCAUUCAUUCAUUCAACAAACAUUUGUUGACUGUUUUAUGAGCUGGGUCCUAGGAACUGAAAAUAAACAGUGAAGAGGCCGGGCGCAGUGGCCCACACCUGUAAUCCCAGCACUUUGGGAGGCCGAGGCGGGUGGAUCACGAGGUCAGGAGAUCGAGACCAACCUGGCUAACAUGGUGAAACCCCGUCUGUACUAAAAAUACAAAAAAUUAGCCGGGUGUGAUGGUGGGCGCCUGUGGUCCCAGCUACUGGGGAGGCUGAGGCAGGAGAAUGGUGUGGACCCGGGAGGUGGAGCUUGCAGUGAGCCGAGAUUGGUGCCCACUGCACUCCAGCCUGGGCGACAGAGCGAGACUCCGUCUCAAAAUAAAUAAAUAAAUAAAUAAAUAAAAUAAACAGUGAAGAGGACGAACAAGGUUGGUCUCCUCAGAGACUUUUCCUUUUUUUUUUUUAACAGAGACAGGGCCUAAUUAUGUUGCCUAGGCUGGUCUCAAAAUUCUGGGCUCUCAAGUGAGCCUCCUGCUUUGGCCUCCCAUAGUGCUGGGAUUAGACCGGGAAUUUUCCUUUUAUUAAGUGAGUGGUGUUAGACUGUGGACACGUGAGUAUUCUAUUAGUUGUGACAGGUGUUCUGAAUGAGAGUUUUGCGUGAGAGUAGAGGUAAACUCACCUGCUCUCAAUUUGUAAGGGAGCCAUCUCAGAAUUUUCUCUCUUCUGGCUGGGGAUGAGAGCCAACGUCUUCAUUUCAGAGCAUCUCAGCCGCAUCAGGGGGAUCGUCACACUCUCUGCCAUGAAUAGGUGCCACGGGAUGAAGAGGAGAGUUUCGGCAUAUGCAAAGGUCUAGAGGAGGAAAGAGCAGGUUUAGUCAAAGAACUCAAAAUAGUUCAGCACGGUCAGACUUUGGAGUCUGGUGAGGGACAGGAUGUACGUUCUGGAGCCCAGGAGGUCAACCUCAUUUUAAUUAAGACACACCAUUUAUUGAGUCCUGUUAUAGAACAUUGGCUCAUUCAAUUGUCGGGUAACUUUAUUUUCUUCUUCUUCUUAUUUUUUGAGAUGGAGUUUUGCUCUUGUUGCUCAGGCUGGAGUGUAAUGGUGUGAUUUUGGCACACUGCAACCUUCACCUCCCGGGUUCAAGCGAUUCUCCUGCCUCAGCCUCCCAAGUAGCUGGGAUUGCAGGCAUGCGCCACCAUGCCUGGCUAAUUUUGUAUUUUCAGUUGAGACGGGGUUUCUCCAUGUUAGUCAGGCUGGUCUCGAACUCCCGACCUCAGGUGAUCUGCCUGCCUUGGCCUCCCAAAGUGCUGGAAUUACAGACAUGAGACACCUCGCCUGGCCUACUUUUCUUUCUUUCUUUCUUUUUUUGAGACGUAGUCUUGCUGUCACCCAGGCUGGAGUGCAGUAGCACGAUCUAGGCUCUGCAACCUCCGCCUCCCAGGUUCAAGCAUUUCUCUUGCCUCAGCCUCCCAAGUAGCUGGGAUUGCAGGCAUGAGCCACCACGCCCAGCUAAGUUUUAUGUUUUUAGUAGAGAUGGGGUUUCCCCAUGUUGGCCAAGUUGGUCUCAAACUCCUGACUUCAGGGGAUCUGCCUGCCUCGGCCUCCCAAAGUGCUGGGAUUACAGGUGUGAGCCAUAGCGCCUUGACCCUCUGGUAAUUUUUUUUUUUUUGAGAUGGAGUCUCGCUCCUGUCACCCAGGCUGGAGUGCAGUGGCGAGUGUCACCCAGGCUGGAGUGCAGUGGCAUGAUCUCAGCUCACUGCACGUCCGCCUGUUGGGUUCAAGCAAUUCUGCU